rnacentral:rRNA from 1 species
GCCUACGGGGGGCAGCAGGCGCGAAAACUUUACAAUGCGGGCAACCGUGAUAAGGAAACCCCGAGUGCCACCACAGGGUGGCUGUCCACCAGUGUAAAAAACUGGUGAAGAAAGGGCCGGGCAAGACCGGUGCCAGCCGCCGCGGUAAUACCGGCGGCUCGAGUGGUGGCCGCUUUUACUGGGCUUAAAGGGUCCGUAGCUGGAUCUGUGUGUCCCUUGAGAAAUCCAUCGGCUUAACUGAUGGGCGUUCAGGGGAAACUGCAGCUCUAGGGACCGGGAGAGGUGAGAGGUACUGCCGGGGUAGGAGUGAAAUCCUGUAAUCCCGGUGGGACGACCUAUGGCGAAGGCAUCUCACCAGAACGGCUCCGACAGUGAGGGACGAAAGCUGGGGGAGCAAACCGGAUUAGAUACCCGGGUAGUC